GCUUACGGCCAUACCACCCUGAACACGCCCGAUCUCGUCCGAUCUCGAAGCUAAGCAGGUCGGCCUGGUUAUACUGGAGGGAACCGCCUGGGAAUACCAGUGCUGUAAGCU
rnacentral:rRNA from 1 species